GAAAUGCGAUAAGUAAUGUGAAUUGCAGAACUCAGUGAAUCAUCGGAUCUUUGAACGCACCUUGCGCCCCUUGGUAUCCCGAGGAGCAUGCCUGUUUGAGUGUCAUGAAAACCCUCAACCCUAGAUUGGUUAAAACCUUUCUUUGGUUUGAAUUUGGACGUUUGCCGAUGAUAAGCCGGCUCGUCUUAGAAGUAAUAGCUGGAUCUGCCUCGCGACAUGGUUUGACUUGGCGUAGUAAGUAUUUCGCGAAGGACAUCUUCGGAUGGCCGCGUUGCAGGACUAAAGACCGCUUUCUAAUCCAUUGAUCUUCGGGAUUAAUAUUCUUGACAUCUGGCCUCAAAUCAGGUAGGACUACCCGCUGAACUUAA
rnacentral:misc_RNA from 1 species